rfam:Clostridiales bacterium S5-A11 contig063, whole genome shotgun sequence.
GCAAACUAACAAUUCGAUUGGCGGAAUGAUGGAGUAACGCCCUGAAACGCCAACCUUAAUACUCCGACUGGCUCUGCUCAAAAGGCAGAUGUUCAGAAGCUCGGUGAAGUCGGCAGAGAGCUACCGUCUUGCAACAGUGUGAACAAUGCAACGAAAGCUGUCCAGCGGUGGAUGGUGUAGCCUAUAUGCCGGAGGUCUAUAAA